rnacentral:rRNA from 1 species
UACGUAGGGUGCGAGCGUUAAUCGGAAUUACUGGGCGUAAAGCGUGCGCAGGCGGUUUUGCAAGCCGGAUGUGAAAUCCCCGGGCUUAACCUGGGAAUGGCAUUUGGGACUGCAAGGCUUGAGUGCGGCAGAGGAGACUGGAAUUCCUGGUGUAGCAGUGAAAUGCGUAGAUAUCAGGAGGAACACCGAUGGCGAAGGCAGGUCUCUGGGCUGACACUGACGCUCAUGCACGAAAGCGUGGGGAGCGAAACAAGGAUUG